CUCUGUACUGCUGGAAAAGACAGAAAUAAAGGCAUGUAAAUACAUUUCUGUCUGUCUCUUUCCCCUCCCUGGGAAACCUUGCACUUAACAUGAGUAACUUCUUUCCUGCAAUUUCUUAGGUGGAAAUAACAAAUAUUGGAAAGGAAGAAACGAGGUACACCUUUUCCCUCAAACUUUUGGAGGAGGUUAAAGUGGGAAAUCCCAAGGGAGAUUUUGCUUAUCCGAGCUUCAAUUCAGCAGGAUCAGGUGCUUAAGGCGCCUCUUCAGACGCUGCAACAGGGUGGCCCCCCAGCAAGGCCCAGAGCAGCCCGUGGCACCAGCUGCUGAAGGAAGAUCAGCUGUACCUGCUGGAGGUGAUCCAGAACUGCCAGGCAGCUCAGCUCAGGGGGCUCUGAACCCCAAAGUGCUCCAAGCAGGAGGUGGCCAAAGCCAUCCUGAUGAAACAGACAUGAAGAUGACAUUCGCCCACUUUGCAUACCGCCUUGUAUACUUGCUUCAUGAACAACAACUGCAGCUUAACGUGAACAAGCGGCAUUCGUUGGAACUUCCCUUCCUGGAGCCUGGCUCCCUCCUUGGGGUCUUUGGCCGGCAGGUCAAGACUUCCUUGUCCCAAGAGGCUUUGGGGAAGUGAUGGCUUCGCAUGAAAGCACUGGUGACAUGCUGCCUCUAUGGGGAUGUUCUAAAUGCUUACAAUAUACCAGGUUAAAUGCACAGCAUUGGAACAGUUAGAACAAAGUCUGUAUCAGGAAUCAGGAUUUUUUUUACGUCACAAGCAACUGGCAUUCAGAUGCAUCGCGUCCUCCCCAUGUGGAGGCAGAGAAGAGCCAUUCUGGCGAGAGCGAACCCUCUCACCUGCAGAGCCACAGGGAGAUCCGUCAAUCACCAGGAGAGCGUCUGCUUCCCAUGCAGGUCUGGUGCUCAGCAACUCCAGGCCGGGGGCUGGAGAGACUCCCUGCCUGAGACCCUGAAAAGCCACCGCAGCCACUGCGGUCCACCUCUAGGUUAAGGUGUCGUUCGGCUCAGCCUAAGGCAGCUUCUUCUGCUCCUGAGCUUCCUGGUGGAGUUUUGCAAGCAGCUGCAUCCUGCGCAGAGCAUCGCUCUGAGGCCACCUGGCUGAGCGGGAAGCAGCCUUUAUGGUGUCUCUGUGGAGAACGAGGGAGGGGGCAUCUCAAGGGGCUGUUCAGAGACAUUUUCCAUCCCAAACAGGUCCAUUGCGCCAAGGUAUGCCCAGCUGUGGGGCAUCUCUCCAAGGCCACUGGGUCGGGGGACAAUGGACAGCAUUAAUCAUUGAGUCCCUCCAGCACAGUGCUGCCCCCAGGGUUUGAUGACCACUGGGCUGGGGAAUCUGUGGCCCUCCGGGUAUCCAUGCAACCCAUCUCCCAUCAUCUUUGACCAUGAGCUGUGCUGUUUGGGACUGAGUUAAGUCAAAGCCAUGGCAAAUGGCCACCCAACCACUGCUUUAAAACCUCCAAGGAAGGAGAGUUCCACUGCCAAACAGCUCUUAAUCCAGCAAAAGCGUGUGCAUUUAGGGUUCACUAGAUUCCUCACGCGGGUGGCGCUG